rnacentral:lncRNA from 1 species
CUAAUUGCCACAAAUUUAUCUGUAAUGUUAUGGAAGCCCCAUGGCUUUUCUGACUCACAUUUCCCUCAUAUGUAAAGCAAGAGGAUGUACCAAGCUCUAAAAGAAACCACCUAAGCUGGAAUUCUUUGGCUCUGUCGACACAUGGAGAAGAAUGACAAGCAAAGCUAUUGUGCUCUUCAUUACAAAGUGCAUUUCACAUUACAUACUUUUGCCACCACUUCAACCACAGGCAUCCCUCUAUCCCCAUACUGAAAGUGGCCUCGGAGAUUUGGAAAAGAGCAAACUGAGUAAGUUAACUUAGAUAACUGAGUCAUGUUUGAAAUAGUUAAGGCUUUUGUUUAUUAACAUUUUAUUUAUAAAGCCUUCAUGGCUCCUUCUUCCACUCAGUCAAGGAAAUGAACCCAUUUCAUCCAGAAAUUCAAUCAGUUCAUCUACCCUUCAAAUCUAAAGUGCCAGUGAGUUUGAUUAACCUGGUUCCCGAGCUGGAAGAUCAGCCUGUUUGGCUUUGUUGCUGGCUGCCCCAGGAAGAAUAAUUUCACUGGAAAAAGGAUGAGCAAGGCCACCAAUCAUGAAGGCAAAAACAGAGCAAAGGCUGAAAAACUAGGAGAAGGAGAAUAUCAGUUUCUAAUGGACCAGCCCAGAAGUCACUUAAGAACAAGAAGGGGGUGCAGAGAUGGCAUGGGUUACUCCAACAAGGACUGGGAAAUGUGUGGCCUAUGCAUUCUAAAUUAUACAACAUCAUCUUUAAAGUGCACUUCUCACAAUCCCAGGGGUAAGGCAAACCUUAGGGAGACUGAGAUAGGGCUGGAGAAAAGCACUUUCUCCCUAAAGCACAUUCUACAAAAAUGGCACCCUUUAAACAAAUUUAAAGUAAUAUAAGAACAGGACAGUAGGGAAGAUGGUGGUAAAAAGUCAGUGAAGGAAGCAACGGGAAAUAUGCACAAGUGAAAUAUCAGAUGUGAAACCAUGAGAUGCUUUGAAGACAAAGUCACAGGAGAACAUCUAUUUUAUGCACUCACCAGUGUAGGUCCCACCUCCUCCACACAUGCUAAGUUUGUUUCAUCAGAUGACUGCACCUCUGAGGGGAGGUGGUCGUCAAUCCAGGAGAAUUGCCAGAGGUAACUUGCUUGGCAAUCAAUGUCCUUCAAAGGUUCAAAACUGUUUUUUCCUUUUUAUUGGUUUUUGAAACUUCACAUACUUGAAAUUAGGCUGUUUACUUAUCUGUCUGAAUACACAAAUAUACAAAGUUGUUUAACAAAUAUUUAUUUAACAACUACUUCAGGGUGUAAGAUUUAAAAAGCAUUUAUUGGUAACUGGGAUAGGGGAAAGGGACAAGGUUAUAAAAGAAAUAGAAACCUUGUUCUCUACCCUUAAGAGUUCAAAAUCUGGUUGGAGAGACAAAAAUAAACAAAAGUAAUUACAUCA